AGGUGCGAUCAUACCAGCACUAAUACACCGGAUCCAAUCAGAACUCCGCAGUGAAGCGUGCUUGGGCGAGAGUAGUACUAGGAUGGGUGACCUCCUGGGAAGUCCUCGUGUUGCACCUC
rfam:Lupinus angustifolius cultivar Tanjil contig_23422, whole genome shotgun sequence.